rnacentral:rRNA from 1 species
UUACCAUGCAGUCGAACGGUAACAGGGAGCUUGCUCCGCUGACGAGUGGCGAACGGGUGAGUAAUAUAUCGGAACGUACCCAAGAGUGGGGGAUAACGUAGCGAAAGUUACGCUAAUACCGCAUACGAUCUAUGGAUGAAAGCAGGGGACCUUCGGGCCUUGUGCUCCUGGAGCGGCCGAUAUCUGAUUAGCUAGUUGGUGAGGUAAAGGCUCACCAAGGCGACGAUCAGUAGCUGGUCUGAGAGGACGACCAGCCACACUGGAACUGAGACACGGUCCAGACUCCUACGGGAGGCAGCAGUGGGGAAUUUUGGACAAUGGGCGCAAGCCUGAUCCAGCAAUGCCGCGUGAGUGAAGAAGGCCUUCGGGUUGUAAAGCUCUUUUGUCAGGGAAGAAACGGGAUUGGCUAAUAUCCAGUCCUAAUGACGGUACCUGAAGAAUAAGCACCGGCUAACUACGUGCCAGCAGCCGCGGUAAUACGUAGGGUGCAAGCGUUAAUCGGAAUUACUGGGCGUAAAGCGUGCGCAGGCGGUUUUGUAAGUCUGUCGUGAAAUCCCCGGGCUCAACCUGGGAAUUGCGAUGGAGACUGCAAGGCUAGAAUCUGGCAGAGGGGGGUAGAAUUCCACGUGUAGCAGUGAAAUGCGUAGAGAUGUGGAGGAACACCGAUGGCGAAGGCAGCCCCCUGGGUCAAGAUUGACGCUCAUGCACGAAAGCGUGGGGAGCAAACAGGAUUAGAUACCCUGGUAGUCCACGCCCUAAACGAUGUCUACUAGUUGUCGGGUUUUAAUUAACUUGGUAACGCAGCUAACGCGUGAAGUAGACCGCCUGGGGAGUACGGUCGCAAGAUUAAAACUCAAAGGAAUUGACGGGGACCCGCACAAGCGGUGGAUGAUGUGGAUUAAUUCGAUGCAACGCGAAAAACCUUACCUACCCUUGACAUGUCAGGAAGACCGGAGAGAUCUGGUUGUGCCCGAAAGGGAGCCUGAACACAGGUGCUGCAUGGCUGUCGUCAGCUCGUGUCGUGAGAUGUUGGGUUAAGUCCCGCAACGAGCGCAACCCUUGUCAUUAGUUGCUACAUUUAGUUGAGCACUCUAAUGAGACUGCCGGUGACAAACCGGAGGAAGGUGGGGAUGACGUCAAGUCCUCAUGGCCCUUAUGGGUAGGGCUUCACACGUCAUACAAUGGUACAUACAGAGGGCCGCCAACCCGCGAGGGGGAGCUAAUCCCAGAAAGUGUAUCGUAGUCCGGAUCGCAGUCUGCAACUCGACUGCGUGAAGUUGGAAUCGCUAGUAAUCGCGGAUCAGCAUGUCGCGGUGAAUACGUUCCCGGGUCUUGUACACACCGCCCGUCACACCAUGGGAGCGGGUUUUACCAGAAGUAGGUAGCUUAACCGCAAGGAGGGCGCUACC